rnacentral:rRNA from 1 species
UCGAGAAUUUUUCACAAUGGGGGAAACCCUGAUGGAGCGACGCCGCGUGGGGGAUGAAGGGCUUCGGCUCGUAAACCCCUGUCAGCCGCGAACAAUGCUUACGACCUAACACGUCGUGAGUUGAUUGUAGUGGCAGAGGAAGGGACGGCUAACUCUGUGCCAGCAGCCGCGGUAAUACAGAGGUCCCGAGCGUUGUUCGGAUUUACUGGGCGUAAAGGGUGCGUAGGUGGUCGGGUAAGUCUCAUGUGAAAUCCCGCAGCUUAACUGCGGAACGGCAUGGGAUACUAUUCGGCUCGAGGAUUGGAGGGGGGACUGGAAUUCCCGGUGUAGCAGUGAAAUGCGUAGAUAUCGGGAGGAACACCAGUGGCGAAGGCGAGUCCCUGGACAAUUCCUGACGCUGAGGCACGAAAGCCAGGGGAGCAAACAG